rnacentral:lncRNA from 1 species
GUGGAUUGAAAUGUAAAUAAAAUUUUCAUUAAAUUCAAUAAUUCAAUUAAUAUUUAUUGAGGUUUUAAAAUAAUUAUAGAAAUUCAUGAAGAUUUACUUAGGAUUUUUUUGGAGUUAUUUAGGAUUUGAUUAGAAUUUGGUUUGGAUUUAGAAUUUGAUUAGGAUUUGAUUAAGUUUUUUUUUAGGAUUUAGGGUUUAAUUAGAAUUUAAUCUAAGAUUUCAUUAGAAUUUAGUUAGGAUGUAGGAUUUAAUUAGGAUUUGAUAUAGGAUUUGGUUAGGAUUUAAUUAUGAUUUUUUCUAAAGUUUGAUUAGAAUUUAAUUGGGG